rnacentral:rRNA from 1 species
UGCCAGCAGCCGCGGUAAUACAUAGGGGUCAAGCGUUGUCCGGAUUUAUUGGGCGUAAAGUGCACGUAGGCGGAUUAGUAAGUUAGAGGUGAAAUCCUACCGCUCAACGGUAGAACUGCCUUUGAUACUGGCAAACUUGAGUUAUUGUGAAGUAGUUAGAAUGUGUAGUGUAGCGGUGAAAUGCAUAGAUAUUACACAGAAUACCAAUUGCGAAGGCAGAUUACUAACAAUUAACUGACGCUGAGGGACGAAAGCGUGGGUAGCGAACAGGAUUAGAUA